rnacentral:misc_RNA from 1 species
GAUGAAGAACGCAGUGAAACGCGAUAUGUAAUGUGAAUUGCAGAAUUCAGUGAAUCAUCGAAUCUUUGAACGCACAUGGCGCCUUCCAGUAUCCUGGGAGGCAUGCCUGUCCGAGCGUCGUUUCAACCCUCGAGCCCCGUGGCCCGGCGUUGGGGAUCUGCCCAGGCAGUCCCCGAAAACCAGUGGCGGACCCGUUACAGGCCCUUCCCUUGCGUAGUAGCAUUCGCCUCGCAUCGGGAGCCGGCGGGCUUCCAGCCUCUAAACCCCCAUCAAGUCCGCCCCGGCGGCACCAAGGUUGACCUCGGAUCAGGUAGGAAUACCCGCUGAACUUAAGCAUAUCAAUAAGCGGAGGA